rnacentral:rRNA from 1 species
UACGUAGGGAGCAAGCGUUGUCCGGAAUCAUUGGGCGUAAAGCGCGCGUAGGUGGCUUCGUAAGUCCGUUGUGAAAGUCAAAGGCUCAACCUUUGAAAGCCGAUGGAUACUGUGAAGCUAGAGUACGGAAGAGGCGAGUGGAAUUCCUAGUGUAGCGGUGGAAUGCGCAGAUAUCAGGAGGAACACCAAUAGCGAAGGCAGCUCGCUGGGACGUUACUGACACUGAGGCGCGAAGCGUGGGGAGCGAACAGG